CCUACGGGAGGCAGCAGUGGGGAAUUUUGGACAAUGGGGGGAACCCUGAUCCAGCAACGCCGCGUGAAUGAAGAAGGCCUUAGGGUUGUAAAGUUCUUUUGUCAGGGAAGAAAAGGCUUGUGCUAAUAUCAUAAGCUGCUGACGGUACCUGAAGAAUAAGCACCGGCUAACUACGUGCCAGCAGCCGCGGUAAUACGUAGGGUGCGAGCGUUAAUCGGAAUUACUGGGCGUAAAGCGUGCGCAGGCGGAUAUGUAAGUUAGAAGUGAAAUCCCCGGGCUCAACCUGGGAAUGGCUUUUAAGACUGCGUAUCUAGAGUUUGUCAGAGGGGGGUGGAAUUCCAAGUGUAGCAGUGAAAUGCGUAGAGAUUUGGAGGAACACCAAUGGCGAAGGCAACCCCCUGGGAUAAAACUGACGCUCAUGCACGAAAGCGUGGGUAGCAAACAGGAUUAGAUACCCCGGUAGUC
rnacentral:rRNA from 1 species